ACAAAUACUUUUUAUCAUACAGCCUACAAAUAAAACGGAUAUGUGACCUGGUGUGACAUUAAUUGAUGAAUAUUACUAAUGUUGUUUGAAGAUUGUGCCCGUGAGCCAGCGCCUCUGAUAAAAGCUGCAUGAUUAAGAAAAACACAAAGCUGUCUGUUAUUAAACACAAACGAACGAAAUAAAUGCUCUUCUGUUCAAAUAUAAAUGCGUCCAUGACGCGAUAUGUUUUUAAACUACUUCGUCUGAAAGAGCUGAUGAGUCAGUUUUAAAUCUGAAAGAGUUCGUGGCGCGCAUCAGAAUCAGACUUCACUACUUUGACUGACCAAUAUUAUUCCGCUUGUUAAAGUAGUUCUGCUGCGUUCAGUGCUUUGUCACGCAUUUAAUUUCAUAAUUUAGUACGAUAACAUCAUAGAAUACAUUCUUUCUUUAAGUAGCCUACGCGCAUAUUUAAAUGACAGCUAUGAAGAUUUUAUAUUUUUGAAAUGUAAGAAGGAUACACCCUCACAAAGCACACAGUGGAGCAGCUGCGCAGUGCGCGUGACCGUGACAGGACCUCACCUCAGAAUUACCGCCAAUUUUUGGAUUAGAGGCGAAGCAGAAAAGUUGCGUGAGCUGCCAAAAUCAAGAUCAGUGUGAAAAGGUCAGGCUCACAAUGUGAAGAUGUCUGCAAGUUACUCUUUUUAAAGCUGUGGUGUUUCUGUAAAGACCUUAAAAGGUAAUGUACAACAUCAAGGGCUCCACAGAAAUGAGGCACAUUACCUAUAUCCAUGUUGCAUAGCAUUGCCUGAUGAAGUGGACUCUACUGGACUUCCAAGUACACCCUGCAUAAUUGUGUGUUGUAUGUUUAAAAAUGACAAAGUGAAGCUAUAUUUAAUAUUUGUUGGUUUUCCUUUUCUAUUUUAUCACAGUGUUAUAGAUCCCUUUUUUCUUCAUGUUACAAUAGGAUGUUCUCCUUUGACUGCCGAGUAAUUCGUUGUCUGUGGACCAGGUCAUUGUUAACAGCCACAUCACCAUGUUCAGUGAUGCUAUCAGGUUGAUGUUGGCCUCAUACUACUGCCUGAACAUUUCCUAUCCAGAUGACCAAGGAGCAACAUUGGAAUUUGUGGAGAGAUGCCUUUUCAAGAUAAACCCAGAGAAGGGAUCCAAAAUUCUAAAGAGAACAUCAAGAAACCAAAAGGCGGUCAGUCCAAAGGUUAUUUCUCUGUUUAGUAAAAUGUGCAGACUAUGAAUGGAUGGAGUAAUAAUACUCACCCAUUAUUCUCUUAAAAUUAUUGGCUGUGUUACUGACUUGAACUACAUUUGGUUCUGUUGUUAAAAAUUUCCCUUUUUCAUUCAUGUAGUUGUAUGCAAGUUUCCAACAUUUGUAAUUAAGACAGAAAAGUUUGCGAUCCAUGUUAUUUUUGUCCUCUGAUGAGUGUAUUUUAAUAGUUGAGCAUCAGUUUUAUUGCAUGAAUUGUAUAAACCUGUCCAUGAUUUUGAUCUCUUGUACUGCUUCGUUGUUUUACUUAUGUAAUCAGUGAGAUUUUGGUGAGUUGUAGCUUUUACAGACAAGUUUGACAUUAUUGUUAUUAUUCUCCUGCAAGAAAUAAAAGCGAGUCUGUUUA